GAGCUUGCUCCUGUGAUUAGUGGCGAACGGGUGAGUAACACGUGAGUAACCUGCCCCUGACUCUGGGAUAAGCGUUGGAAACGACGUCUAAUACUGGAUAUGAUCACUGGCCGCAUGGUCUGGUGGUGGAAAGAUUUUUUGGUUGGGGAUGGACUCGCGGCCUAUCAGCUUGUUGGUGAGGUAAUGGCUCACCAAGGCGACGACGGGUAGCCGGCCUGAGAGGGUGACCGGCCACACUGGGACUGAGACACGGCCCAGACUCCUACGGGAGGCAGCAGUGGGGAAUAUUGCACAAUGGGCGAAAGCCUGAUGCAGCAACGCCGCGUGAGGGAUGACGGCCUUCGGGUUGUAAACCUCUUUUAGUAGGGAAGAAGCGAAAGUGACGGUACCUGCAGAAAAAGCACCGGCUAACUACGUGCCAGCAGCCGCGGUAAUACGUAGGGUGCAAGCGUUGUCCGGAAUUAUUGGGCGUAAAGAGCUCGUAGGCGGUUUGUCGCGUCUGCUGUGAAAUCCCGAGGCUCAACCUCGGGCUUGCAGUGGGUACGGGCAGACUAGAGUGCGGUAGGGGAGAUUGGAAUUCCUGGUGUAGCGGUGGAAUGCGCAGAUAUCAGGAGGAACACCGAUGGCGAA
rnacentral:rRNA from 1 species